AUCGUAUCAUUGCAGUUGUAAAACCUAUAAAAAUCAAAUUAGAAUUUACUUUUUUUUGCUUUUUUUUUUUCUCUCCUCUUCGCCACAUCCCCCCACUUCUCUCUGGUUUUGUUUUCGAUGCUACCCGUGCUACAAACACUCCACCACAAAUAUCUCUUCCCGGUUCUCUGUUCUGGAUGUAAUCCUCUCCACCACCUACCAACCAAUAUUGGAUACGGGUUACGGAAGAACCAGAGGACCACAUGGUGUUUACCAUUCUCAUCAGAGAUAAAAGUCUUAAUCAUGGUCUGGGGGGAUAACAUAAAAUUUGGAUUUUCUUUUUAUUAAUGGAUUAAUUUCAUUUCAAAUUUGAUGUUUAAAGAUAACCAAAGAAAAUAUCGUAGACCAAAGAGAUGAGAUGUAACCAAAGAGAUGAGAAAUCUUAUUGAAUAUAAUCAGCAAAGAAGUUUUUUCGUUUUUUUUUUUUUAAUACAUUUUAAUGCAUUUAUGGUCAAAUUAUUUUCAUACCUCUCAAAACAUGAGAUUCCAUUUUAAUUUUGCAAUCUCUGGUUGACAUUAGAAAAUAAAGUAAGCACCAUUUUGAUUUGUGCUAUUUGAAAGUUUAA
rnacentral:misc_RNA from 1 species